UACGAAGGGGGGCUAGCGUUGCUCGGAAUCACUGGGCGUAAAGCGCACGUAGGCGGAUUGCUAAGUCAGGGGUGAAAUCCUGGAGCUCAACUCCAGAACUGCCUUUGAUACUGGCGAUCUUGAGUCCGGGAGAGGUGAGUGGAACUGCGAGUGUAGAGGUGAAAUUCGUAGAUAUUCGCAAGAACACCAGUGGCGAAGGCGGCUCACUGGCCCGAUACUGACGCUGAGGUGCGAAAGCGUGGGGAGCAAACAGGG
rnacentral:rRNA from 1 species